rnacentral:rRNA from 1 species
GAUCAUGGCUCAGGAUGAACGCUGGCGGCGUGCUUAACACAUGCAAGUCGAGCGAUGAAGUUUCCUUCGGGAAACGGAUUAGCGGCGGACGGGUGAGUAACACGUGGGUAACCUGCCUCAUAGAGUGGAAUAGCCUUCCGAAAGGAAGAUUAAUACCGCAUAACGUUGAAAGAUGGCAUCAUCAUUUAACCAAAGGAGCAAUCCGCUAUGAGAUGGACCCGCGGCGCAUUAGCUAGUUGG